UACGUAGGGUGCGAGCGUUAAUCGGAAUUACUGGGCGUAAAGCGUGCGCAGGCGGUGAUGUAAGACAGUUGUGAAAUCCCCGGGCUCAACCUGGGAACUGCAUCUGUGACUGCAUCGCUGGAGUGCGGCAGAGGGGGGAUGGAAUUCCGCGUGUAGCAGUGAAAUGCGUAGAUAUGCGGAGGAACACCGAUGGCGAAGGCAGCCCUUCUGGGCUAAUAUUGACGCUCAGGCACGAAAGCGUGGGGAGCAAACAGG
rnacentral:rRNA from 1 species